GGUGUUUCUUACAGUACUAUAAUGUAUGUAAGACUGAGGAUAGGUUCGGCUGGGUCGCCUCAAGAUCUAAUGGGGAUCACCGGCGUUUUGAACUCCUACCAAUAGUCAGGGAUAGCCACUCUGACUGGAGGAAAUCAUAUAACCCGACGUGGUGAAACCUGACUGUGCAGGACUAUCUAUAAUAAGGUGUAGCGCUCGGGCCAGAAUGGUUGAGACAUAUUUGAUAUAUGUUGAUUUGCNNNNNAACGGCCUUACGCUCAUGAUAGAGGUCUCCAUGGAAUAGGUUGAAUAAAGAUAAUACUAACCAAAUUAGAAGACUAACUUCGAGUGAAGAAUUAUGAUUAGAUUUUAUAUACAUUUUAAAUGAUUAAAUUUCGAUAUAUUUGAUUAUUGAUAUAUUGGAUAUAUUUGAUUAUCUUUGUUUUUGACUAAUUGUUGAAUUGUGAUAUUGAUAUAAUGUUUUAUGCAAUUCAUAUUUUUGUGACUAUUUGACUAUACGUGACUAUUUGACUACUUGAUUCUAUUUGAUGUAAAUACAUGAUUAUAUACUCAGGUAUGUAUAUAUAAUAGUUAAAUAAAUGUAUAUACUUGUAUAAUAUUAUGUG
rnacentral:lncRNA from 1 species